rnacentral:rRNA from 1 species
GUACGUGAACCGCUUUGAGUAAAACGGGUGGGUCCUCGAAAUCCGAUGGCAUAGUAAUUCACGCUUAGUGGUGUUUUGCCUAUUUGUAUAUGUUGUAAUUUAUUACUCGUUGCAUGUAGGUUAAAAUUACUGCUUAGUCGGCAUUUUACUGUGUCAGUAGGGCGUCGCAACCGGUAAGGUUAUUUGCUUUAAGAGUCGCAACGGAGGUGACCAUUAGCACUUGUUGUUAGUGGUUUUCUAAAGUGUGGCUUGAAUGAGUUGAUACCUUAUCGUGGGACAACUAAAGCACUUGUGCUUUAGGCUCACUUUUUGCGCAAGACCGCCGGAAUGCUGUUUCAUUGUGUUUUUUCUCACUCUUGUAGUGGGGGAUUGCAUUGUGAUCGGCUGGUUGCUGGAUGGUUUAUUGCAAUGUGUGUGCACGUUGGCGACGAGUAGGUCGGUAACCCACCCGGCCCGUCUUGAAACACGGACCAAGGAGUCUAACAUAUACGCAAGUCAUUGAGCACUGCACUCAAAGGCGUAAUGAAAUGUAAUUUGACGUGAUCUGUAUUGCUACGGCAUUAUGGCGCAGCGUUGGCCCGUUCAAACGGCUUUGUCCGUUGAGCGGAGUAUGAGCGUAUAUGUUGGCACCCGAAAGGUGGUGAUCUAUACCUGGGCAAGACGAAGCCAGAGGAAACUCUGGUGGAGGUCUGAAGCGUUUCUGACGUGCAAAUCGAUCGUCUGACCUGGGUAUAGGGGCGAAAGACUAAUCGAACCACCUAGUAGCUGGUUCCCUCCGAAGUUUCCCUCAGGAUAGCUGGUGCUUAUAACGCAGUCUCAUCCGGUAAAGCGAAUGAUUAGAGGCCUUGGGGACGAAACGUUUUCAACCUAUUCUCAAACUUUUAAUGGGUGAGAAGCUCUGCUUUCUUAAUUGAAGUAGAGUGAGCGAUGCAAGUACCCAGUGGGCCAUUUUUGGUAAGC